rnacentral:rRNA from 1 species
AACGAACGCUGGCGGCAUGCCUAACACAUGCAAGUCGAACGAGACCUUCGGGUCUAGUGGCGCACGGGUGCGUAACGCGUGGGAACCUGCCCUUAGGUUCGGAAUAACUCCCCGAAAGGGGUGCUAAUACCGGAUAAUGUCUUCGGACCAAAGAUUUAUCGCCUUUGGAUGGGCCCGCGUUGGAUUAGCUAGUUGGUAGGGUAAAAGCCUACCAAGGCGACGAUCCAUAGCUGGUCUGAGAGGAUGAUCAGCCACACUGGGACUGAGACACGGCCCAGACUCCUACGCGAGGCAGGAGUGGGUAAUAGAGGACAAUGGGCGGAAGGCUGAACCAGCAAUGCCGCGUGAGUGAUGAAGGCCUUAGGGAUGUAAAGCGCUUUUACCCGGGAUGAUAAUGACAGUACCGGGAGAAUAAGCUCCGGCUAACUCCGUG